rnacentral:rRNA from 1 species
CAAUAGCGUAUAUUAAAGUUGUUGCAGUUAAAAAGCUCGUAGUUGAAGAUACGAACGCUUACACUAGAACAAAGUUUCCGGUGUCUGCGUUCACUUUUCGCAAAGACAGCCUGGCCCAUUAGUUUGGGUCUUGUUUGAGUUGCGUCAUUUACUGUGAACAAAUUAGGGUGUUUAAAGCAGGCCUACGUUUGAAUACACUAGCAUGGAAUAAUAAGAUAUGAUCUUGGUCGUAUUUUGUUGGUGACUACCAAGAUAAUGAUUGAUAGAAACUGUUGUGGGUAUUCGUAUGAGCAUGUCAGAGGUGAAAUUCUUGGAUUUUGAUCAGACGAACUACUGCGAAAGCAUUUACCAAGGAUGUUUUCAUUAA